CAAUAGCGUAUAUUAAAGUUGUUGCAGUUAAAAAGCUCGUAGUUGGAUUUGUGGCGUACGGUGUGUUCCGGGCACUUGUUGUCUGAGUAACCUGCUGUUGCCAUCCUUGGGUGGAACCUGUGUGGCAUUAGGUUGUCGUGCAGGGGAUGCCCAUCAUUUACUGUGAAAAAAUUAGAGUGUUCAAAGCAGGCUUAUGCCGUUGAAUAUAUUAGCAUGGAAUAAUGAGAUAGGACUUUUUUGCUAUUUUGUUGGUUUGCGCAAAGAGGUAAUGAUUAAUAGGGACAGUUGGGGGUAUUCGUAUUUCAUUGUCAGAGGUGAAAUUCUUGGAUUUUUGGAAGACGAACUACUGCGAAAGCAUUUACCAAGGAUGUUUUCAUUAA
rnacentral:rRNA from 1 species